GGGAGGGGAUGAGGGGGGAGGGCGGAGACGCAGGGCGCCUCCCGCUCCUCGCCUGUCCCAAGGGGGCGCGAAGGUCACACGGCCCAUCUCCAGGGGAAAGCACCUCCCUGAGGGGUGCGCGCCGGGCACGCAGACGGGACUCGGGAACGCGGCCUCGUGCCCCUUUCCAACGCUCUUUCGCGGCCACCUCUCCGGUGCAAUCCCUCUCGGCGGCCCGCGGAGGCAGGAUAAGUUAAGCGGUUGCAUCGUGGCCCAUGGUUUGAAAAGCCCUUUCCUCGUCCCACGGCUCUGCCAGAACCUCCCUCCAGCAUCCGUGACAUGCAUCCAGCGCCCCUGGUGAAGGGAAGUCCCCCCUCAGAAGGAUCCCCUGUAGAACACGGCUUGCCGGAGGGUGGAGACCUGUCUUGCACCCUGCUCGCUUGCAUGGUGCCUUGCUGGCCCCCCGCACGUCACUGGCGCCCUACGAAGAGCUGUUGAAGGGAUGAACAGACUC